GCGGGCGUGGUGUAAAGGUAACAUACCGGUCUAGUGUUCCGGAGCUGGCCGUUCAACUCGGCCCCCUGCA
rnacentral:tRNA from 1 species